CCUACGGGAGGCAGCAGUCGAGAAUCAUUCACAAUGGGGGAAACCCUGAUGGUGCGACGCCGCGUGGGGGAAUGAAGGUCUUCGGAUUGUAAACCCCUGUCAUGUGGGAGCAAAUUAAAAAGAUAGUACCACAAGAGGAAGAGACGGCUAACUCUGUGCCAGCAGCCGCGGUAAUACAGAGGUCUCAAGCGUUGUUCGGAAUCACUGGGCGUAAGGCGUGCGUAGGCUGUUUCGUAAGUCGUGUGUGAAAGGCGCGGGCUCAACCCGCGGACGGCACAUGAUACUGCGAGACUAGAGUAAUGGAGGGGGAACCGGAAGUCUCGGUGUAGCAGUGAAAUGCGUAGAUAUCGAGAGGAACACUCGUGGCGAAGGCGGGUUCCUGGACAUUAACUGACGCUGAGGCACGAAGGCCAGGGGAGCGAAAGGGAUUAGAUACCCCUGUAGUC
rnacentral:rRNA from 1 species